AAAUUUUCACCUAUUAUUUCUUCAAACAUUUCUUCUACCCAUUUUGUCUCUCCUCUUCUUUUGGUAGUAUCACACAGAUUUAAGAUGCUCUCCCUCAACCCCCUUUUUCUUCCUCAUUAUUCUUUGUGUUUCAGUUUGGAUAAUUUCUAUUGAAUAAACUUUAUGUUGAGUGAUCUUUUUGUCUUUACUCUUGAUUUUCUCUUAAGUGAACCAAAUAAGUUCUUCAUUUCUGACGUACUUUUUAUUUCUAGAAUUUUCAUAAUUAUUUUAAAAUCCCUGUCUUAUGGUUGCAUUAUCUGAAUCAUUACUUAUUUUGCUUCUAUUGACUAUUUCUUGAUUUUUACAUGUCUUGUCAUUCUGUAUGCCAAGUAUUUUGUGUAAAAGAAUAAAAUAGAUUUCAGUAAAUAUGUCAAAAAAAGAGUAGGCCCUUUUUUCUGUCAGGCCGCUAUUGUGGGAUGAGAAGAGACAUUAAUCAAUCUGUCCUAUAUUUGAAAUGGAUCUGGGCUUUACUGCAGCUAGAUUCUGCAGUUAGAUUCACCUAACCACUCUUUCAAAUAUUUUGGGCUGGAAUCAGAACUCCUGUAGCAGGUAUUAGUAUUUGAGAACUUGCGUGAUUCUGGACUUCUCUUUGUAUUUAUAGUUCAGCUGCCAGCUUUCAAGUUGGUGAGAAGUUCUUUUUUUUCCACUCUCAGUAUUAGUGCACUAUACCUCAGAAGAUAUGUUUUCACUCUGCUGAUGUGUCCCUACAUUUUGGAAAACUACCUCAGUGCAUUUGGUGAAGGUCUGAGGAUUUCUUUCAGCUAUCUUGUCUUACCUCCAAACUUUGGCAACUGUUGCUUCGUGCUUGAUGAUGGUCCUUAGUUCUCAUGCUCCAUCCUCAGGCUUUGGAAAUUCCUGUGGUGUGCUUGGUGAAGGUCAGGAAUCUUGGAAGGAUCUACUUCAGCUCUACUGCCUUAACCAUAGUCUUCAGAGAAUUACCGCAAGGCAUUUGAGGAAGGCCUAUAGGAAAGAGUUGUGUGGUACUUAGCAGCCAAGACUUACAGACC
rnacentral:lncRNA from 1 species